GGAGUCGUGGCCGAGUGGUUAAGGCGAUGGACUAGAAAUCCAUCGGGGUCUCCCCGCACAGGUUCGAAUCCUGUCGACUGCG
rnacentral:tRNA from 2 species